AUGGAUCAUGAGAAUCAUAAAAAUACUUGGAACAAUUUUACAAAGUUUGUUUUGUGGG
rnacentral:sRNA from 1 species